AAUUCUGAUAUUCUCUGAGAUUAAAGUGGUAAAUUUGGAUUUGGAAUGAAAUACUUCUCUGCAAUUUUCACACUUUGCAAAAUAAUCCAGUGGGCCUGAAUGGACCCUUUGGCGGGCCGGUUCUGGCCCACGGGCUGUAUGUUUGACACCCCUGAUUGACACACUCCGAAGGUCUUUGUGCAAAACUGUGUCU